rnacentral:misc_RNA from 1 species
CCCCAAAUCAAAACCCAAAAAGGACAACUAAAAUUUUCAAGCCAAAUUUAUACGUGGCACUGCUCGAAUGAUCUGAAUCCACCCUCAACAGUCACAAAAACGAUCAAACGAAGCAAACCCCACUGAUUACCAGGAAAUGGGUACACAGUUCCAUCAGUAGGGAACCCUAGAAGGCAGAAACCCCCUCUUCAUCAAUCGAAUCAACGAUCCAGAACCAAACCCUGAACUGUAAAU